rnacentral:tRNA from 1 species
GCGGACGUAGCUCAAGGGUAGAGUUACUGAUUUCCAAUCAGUAUGUUGCGAGUUCGAAUCUCGUCGUCCGCUCCA